GACGAACGCUGGCGGCGUGCUUAACACAUGCAAGUCGAACGGAAAGGCCCUGCUUUUGUGGGUUGCUCGAGUGGCGAACGGGUGAGUAACACGUGAGUAACCUGCCCUUGACUUUGGGAUAACUUCAGGAAACUGGGGCUCAUACCGGAUAUGAGCUCCUGCUGCAUGUUGGGGGUUGGUAAGUUUCGGCGGUUGGGGAUGGACUCGCGGCUUCUCCGCUUGUUGGUGGGGUAGUGGCUUACCAAGGCUUUGACGGGUAGCCGGCCUGAGAGGGUGACCGGCCACAUGGGGACUGAGAUACGGCCCAGACGCCUACGGGAGGCAGCAGGGGGGAAUAUGGCAGAAUGGGGGGAAGCCUGAUGCAGAAACGCCGCGUGCGGGAUGACGGCCUUCGGGUGGUAAACCGCUGUCGCCGGUGACGAAGAGUGAGUGACGGUAAUGGGUAAAGAAGCACCGGCUAACUACGUG
rnacentral:rRNA from 1 species